GCCAAGACUAGUUUAUGGCCAGUAGCCAUAGUCACAAGUGACAAGCUGCUGAGCCUACUCCAAAUGAAACAACCACAGGCCAUCAGAGCGUUCACUGAGUCCACUGGAUUAGCAAAGCAGGACAACGCCUUCUGUACCACCAUCUAUGCCAUCUAGUUAGGAGGCAGAAUCUCAGGACUAAUUGCUUCAUUUCUUCAUUUGGCCUUGAAAAAACAUUUCAUUAUUUGUUGUUGCCUGCUAUGUGGAAGGGACCAAGAAUAUCCUCUAAAACGGAAUCUGUUUUGUUUGGUGCUAUGGAGACCCUAGGGAGGAAAAAAUUUCUUUGAAAGAGGGGCUGUCAUUUCCAACUUAUCUUUACUACUCACCUCAAUGCUCGAGGAUCUCUCCACUCAUUCAUGAAGCGUAAUAAGGAGGACACGAAAGCUGGAGCUGGGGGAUGUCUGGCUAUUUUAUAUAAGAUGGCUGAGGAAGGCAGCAAAGGUAUUCAAGCCAAGACCUGAGGGACACGAGCAAGCAAGCCACACAGACGUGUGCAAGAAAGGGGAUUGCAGCAAACGUGAAGAGGAAGCUGCAGCGUGGUUUGUAAAUCAUGAAAGAUCAAGGAAGCUGUGAGGACACAAUGAGAAGAUGGCCAUCUGCAAGCCAGGAAGAGAGCCCUCCCUGAGGAACUGAACGGGCCAGCACCUUGGGCUUGGACUUCCAGUCUCCUGAACUGUGAGAAAAUCAACUUCUGUGUUUUACGCACCCAGUCUGGUAUUCUGUCAUGGCCGCCUGAGCAGACUAGCACAGUGGGUCAUGAUAUCAAUUUAGCAGUUCACGAUCAGCGUUUAAAAAAGGAAGAAUAGACUUUAAAGUGUCAGAAUGUGUUGCAUAUCGUAGGGUUAACAUCAUUUCAUGAAGUUUUUUGUUUGCAUGUGUGUCCUGGAUCGUGUUGUAAAAUGUAUUUCUUCUGAGGGUCUUGGUCUAAGGGUUAAAAACUACCUGCUUUAAACACCAAACAAAGGUGACUUUUGGCAACUAAGCUGAUGCACAGUGCUAACGCCUAAAAGCUUCAGCCCAGCAUCCUACAGCCGCGGGCAGGUGUGCACGGGGCUUGUGUGAGACCUGUGUUCAGCCGCCACACCAUGUGCCAGAAAAGCAAAAGCUUUAGAUUGUUCCGGACCUCCAGUCCCCUCUCUGCCUGGCGAUGGGAAAUAGGACUGACUCCUUUGACCUGAGCUAGUUACCCAUCCACACUGGAAUUCUGGACAAUUUGAGGAGGAGAGAGAAGUCUCAAGAGGCUUCUUGCUCAGUGAGGCCAUGACAAAAGUGAUAUAAUAAUAUCUACACCCCCAACUAGUUCUAAAGGUUAUGUUAGUUAAAAAGGUUUUCUUAAAGAUCUUGGAAAGGAGAAACCAGCAUCCUCAAAACUGUGUCAGAGACACAUUGUUUCUCAGUAAAAUUCCUUCCAAAGUGGAGGGGGCCAGGGGGCAGUGAGGAAGUCUACACUUAAGAAACCCAGAAAGCUUAUAGGCAGAAAUAGAUUAAUGACUCAGGGACUCGACCUCAGGGGGGGUUUCUGUGAUACGACAUGUAUGUGACACCUGCUGUUCUUAAUAACCUUCAGUUCUCUGAACUCUGCACUGGGACAAAGAGUAAAUAUGCCCACAAGCUUUUGUACUGGCAAGCCCAAAGACGGAAGCUCUUGUUUCAGCAGAGCCAAAUUCCCCCUUUUCCAACAUGCCUCAGGUAAUAGUGCCAGUACUGGUUGCGACAGCUUAGGUUUUUGUCCCAAAAUAGUUAUUAAGAAGACUGAUAUUAAAUGGAAUAAUUGGGGAAAACGUUGCCUCAGUUAGCUUUUCAGAAACUGUAGAGGGAAAGAGAGCAGAGGCAGCUUUGUUUGUGUAGAUUCAAAUUCCCCUCAUGUUUAAGUAUCGUCUGCCAUAGGUUCCCUAAAGAGAUGCAUAAAUCUUGUGAGACGAGACACUGCAUGAAAAAUCUCUCUUCCAGAUAAUGGUUAUGGUGGUUUUAAAACAUGACUUCAAAUUCUUUGGGACUCCUCCCAUCAAAAGAGAACUCUGAGGCUCUGGGGAGGCAGAAACACAAAAUGGAAGGAAACUGAACUACUGGAUGUCAUCUGGAAGGCCCACCCUCUGACCAGGAACACCAGCAUUAGACACUCAUGUGCAAUCAGAGGUUGGCUGGGCUGAAGUCAUCUGAAGGCUUGACUGGGCAGGACAUGGAAGAUGGUUCACUCAGAUGGCUGGCAGUUGGAGCAGGCUGUCUGCUGGGCUCAGCUGGAGCCAAUGACUGGCAAACUGACAUAUGUUCCCCAGCCUGGUCAUCUCAGAGUUGUCAGCUUUCUUACAGGGUGCCUAACUUCCAGCUUCCCCACAGGGCGACCUGUGCAGCUCUAUCCACCUCCUCUCUCCUGGCCACCAUUGAUUGGACAAAGCGUGGACACCUGCUGCCAAGUCUGUCCUGAGCCAACUGGAUCUUUUCCCCAAAAUAAUGAAAAUGGAACAUAGAAACUCUAGUUAGUCCAUUUGAGGUACUUGGAUUUGAGUCAUCUGUUUGGCCCACCAACAAAGGUAGAAGAAACUGGUUUGCCAACUGAGCAUAAUGAACACGUAGCAAGAUAUUUAUGUGGAGAGAAUGAAAGUCAUCCCUCCCUGUUAGGAUGAAGCCCUCUGAACCUAUUCUGCAUGGCAGCUGGCAUUUUCUGUUCAUGAAGUCCUCCUAAAGUCAUGUCAAUGCCAACAAAGGAGGCUGAGAAGCAGAGGCAAGGACUGGGAGCAAGGAUCCAGAGCGUGUUAUUGCAUGGAAGACCAGAGAAAGAAGUCAUCAAUGGUGCAAUGGUGCUGAGAUGUUAGGUUCAAGAAGACCAGAGGAGUGACGGGUGGAUUUGGCAACCUAGAGUCAUGGUUGGCCUCGACAAGAGUGGCCUCUAUGGAAUGUGGGGAAGAGGGGAAGAGAGAGAGACAGAGACACAUGAGGGCAGAAUGCCAUGUGACAACAGAGGCAGAGAUUGGAGUGAUGCUGCCACAAGCCAGCAAACCUCUGGGGCUACCAGAAGCUG
ensembl:lncRNA